AUACGGAGGAUGCGAGCGUUAUCCGGAUUUAUUGGGUUUAAAGGGAGCGCAGGCGGGAGCUUAAGUCAGCGGUUAAAUGGUGCGGCUCAACCGUGCCCUGCCGUUGAAACUGGGUUUCUUGAGAGUGCAAGAGGCGGAUGGAACUCAUGGUGUAGAGGGGGAAUGCUUAGAUAUCAUGAAGAACUCCGAUUGCGAAGGCAGUCCGCUGGGGCACGUCUGACGCUGAUGCUCGAAGGUGCGGGAAUCAAACAGGAUUAGAUACCCUGGUAGUCCGCACGGUAAACGAUGAUUACCCGCUGUCGGCGGUAGACAGUCGGCGGCCAAGCGAAAGCGAUAAGUAAUCCACCUGGGGAGUACGCCGGCAACGGUGAAACUCAAAGGAAUUGACGGGG
rnacentral:rRNA from 1 species